rnacentral:lncRNA from 1 species
GGGGGGGUUUAUGAAAGCAGUGUUCUCCCUGGAUUUGAAUCCCGUGUGGAAGCGAAUAAAGAUUGAAAGCAGCUUGCACAAAAAAAAACUGAAAUCAAGUGCUGAAAUUAAAAUAAACCAAAAACUAAUAAGAAGAUAAUGACUGGACCAUGCAUUCAAUCAACAUAAAUCUAAUAGUAGAACCAUGUCUCAAAGAAAAAAGCCAAUUCCUUCAGAGCAAAUGUUGCAGCCGAGAAAUAAAAAAUUGCCCCUCCAAGUGUGACGGCUGGUUUUUCUUUGCAAGGCCAAGUGUCUUUGAUGAGUUGUUAUUUUCUCGACUUCACUUAGUUUAUUAUGCUAGAAUUAAUCACGGAAUUGUGCUUAAUUGUCCGGUAUUUUCCUGUUUUUACUAAUUGUGCUU